rnacentral:rRNA from 1 species
AUGGCCGCCGCCUGCCGCGCCCUGCUGCUCCUCCUCGCCGCCGCCGCGGUGGCCCUCCUCGCGGCGCCCCCGGCGGCCGCCGCCCGCCCCUGCGGCCGCGCGCAGACGCUGCUCAUCUCCUUCUCCUCCUUCUCCCGCCCCAACCCGGACCCGGCCGACCCCUCGCCGCUCACCACCACCGUCGUCACCGUCCUCCGCGUCCGCCGCCUCGGCCCGCACCGCUUCCACGCCCACGACCAGAACCACCUCCAGAUCCGCCGCCCCGCCGAGUCCCUCCCCGCCGUCGGCACCCCCGAGACCGACGCCGACGCCGCCUCCUCCUUCCAGGAGCGCGCCAAGGACAUCCUCGUCGUCGUCUCGGGCCUGCUCUUCGGCUUCGGCUGCGGCGCCCUCACCGCCGCCUCCAUGUACCUCGUCUGGUCCCUCGUCGCCUCCACCGGCGCCGCCAGCCCCUACGAGGAGCUCUACAGCGACGACGAGGACGACGACGGCGCCGAGAGCCCCAAGAAGGCCGGCUACGUCAUCAUCCACGGCGCCGAGGACGUCGUCGCCGGUAAGAACUAA